CUCUUUGGAGAGUUUGAUCCUGGCUCAGGACGACCGCUGGCGGCGUGCCUAAUACAUGCAAGUCGAGCGGACUUGACGGAAGCUUGCUUCCGUUCAACUUAGUG
rnacentral:rRNA from 1 species